GCAAGUCGAACGAGAACGGGAUUGCUUGCAAUCCUUAGUAGAGUGGCGCACGGGUGAGUAACACGUAGAUAAUCUACCUUCAAGCCCGGAAUAACUAUUCGAAAGGAUAGCUAAUACCGAAUGACGUUGUUUUGCAUAGGUAAAACAAUGAAAGAUUGCCUCUCCUUGAAAGCUAUUGUUUGGAGAUGAGUCUGCGGACCAUUAGUUUGUUGGUGGGGUAAAAGCCUACCAAGACUACGAUGGUUAGCUGGUCUGAGAGGAUGAUC
rnacentral:rRNA from 1 species